GCCAUCCAUUCAACUCUCUCAGAAGCCUCUAUUACUGCUGCCAAAGAAGAGGAGCUCCUCUCUGCAAUUGUACAGGUGCUCUGAGAAGGAGAGGACAGUGGUGAAGAUGCAUACUCUAUCACACUGCUCUCAAGACCUCAUCCAAAGGAGCCAGUCUCCAGUAGCAGAGGAGACAUCCUGCUUGCCAGCGAGGGAGAAGGAUCUAAGCCCUGGCACAUUACCUUUCAUUCGGAUUCUGUUACUCCACAAUCAUAAGAUGACUGCCGCAACUUCAGACUUCAGGUUCCAAGAAGGAAGAGAAUAAAAGAGAAGUAAAGAGUCUUCUCUACAAGAGACUUUGUCUUUGUGUUCAGGAAUAGAAUCCUCCCCAGCAGAGUACCCUUUUACAGAUCUCUGACCAGAACUGGGUCACAUGUCUACCUUUAGAUCAAUCAACAUCCAGGGGUACCAUGAUUCAUCACCCCAGCAGGGGUCUGACCUAUAUGAGAGAAGAAAUCUAACCAGAUCACUGGGAAAAUUUGGGUUCUAUCAGUUAGCAAGAAGGAGGACAGAUAGAAGGAGACACUAGGUAGGCCAGGAUAAUAUCUGCCACAGUAGUUAUUUAAACAAAGGUGACUUUAUCCCUCCCAUGAUCUAAAACAAAUUAUACAUUUAUAAUUUUUUAAAAAUCUGGUUUGUUUAUGAGUCCUGAUAUUUUUUCAGGAAAAUAUGAUAUCUGAAUCUGAAAUAUACUAUAGGAUCUAGGAAAGUUACCCUUAAAAGAGCCAGUGUUUCAAGAAAUAACCUUAUUUAUUUGAAUCAGAUUUUUUUUAGCAUGGAUAACAAAAAAUGCAUUUCAAUUUAAUAUUAGAGGAGAUUAAUAGCAACUGAUGGACCACUUUCAAAGAACACUCAUAUUGGCUAAAAGCUUAAGUAAUAGAACUAUCUGGGAAGGUAAGAUUUGCACUGGACUUUUUCCCGGAGUGGCAUUAGUCAGGCACUGUAAAUGGAGGAGGGAAGACUUGGAGGCAUAGCUAAGUGUCAAGAACUGCCUCUUCUAAUGUGGGAAGAAUUUACUUAGAAAGUGUGGACAAUGUUUCAUUGCAGGUCUAUCCCAAGCUAAGAUGUGACUCCUAAUUUCAUUUCCAGUCUCAUAUCUCACGUUUCCCCACUCUACUGCCACUCACUCUGCACCACAGCUCCUUGUCUCCAAUAACACCCCCAACUAGUGUGGAUCUCCCUGUUGAAAACUGUCCAGGCACCUGGUACUUUCCCUUGAAACACACAUAACACCAUAAUUAAUUGAUCUGUUACUUUCAUGAUUUUGCUUUACUGUCUCUCCCUCCAUAAAAUAUAACCUCCUUGAGGUGCUGUGUCUUCAGCACCCACAAAUGCUUGGUAUAUGGUAGGCAAUCCAUAAGUAUUUAUGUUUUAAUAUGUAUAUUUAGAAUGCUCAGAUAAAGAAAUUUAUCCAAUAAUCCAAAUAUACUGACAGACUGGAAAGGAGGAAGUGAAUUUUCACUUUAUAACUUAAUUUCCCAGAGCAUUCCUUUAAACAUGGAGUUUUUUUUCAGAUGUUUAAAAUAUGAUUUAAUUUACUAGAAUUUGAUUCACAUUACUUUUCAGGAACACAUACACACACCUAGGGCAAAACCAUCUGCUACACACAUACGAUAUAAAUUCCCCAUUUUCAGGCAUGAUUCAAUGCAGAUUAUUAAAAAAAAGGAAAAAGGCAGAGGGGAGGAGAAACAAGCCAUUUCUAGGAUACCAUCCCAAAGAUCAACAAAGAAAGAUCGGGUAUCUUUUAGGGAAAUUAGUUCUUACUGUGGGUGGAUGGUAGUGUGGCCCUAAAGCAAUCAUCUCCUACCCUUUCUCCUAAGAGCAGGUUUGGUUUGAAUCAGUGAUGGAGCAUGAGUUUGGUCUAUGGAGGACUGGAAUGGUUGUUCCUCUUUGAAACAAGCCAGGUGGGUUGCUGGCCAAGUGCAUAAGCAUUAGUGCUCCGUUGGGAGAGGAAAGGGGAGGUUGUGGAAUAUCAAGAUCUGGGUAAAGUGAUAAUGCAGCUAACAGUUCUUGAGAGUUCACCGUGUACCACAUACUGUGCUGUGCACUUGACCUAGAACAUCUCUUUGAACUCCUACUGCCACGCACUCCCUGUGGCGGACUGAAUCAUGUCCCCUACCAAAAGACAUAUUCAUGUCCUAACCCCGGCCCUGUGGCUGUGGACUCAUUUGCAAAUGGGAUCUUUGAAAAAGGCUAAACUGAAGCAGGGUGAGCCUUGGUUCUAUCUGACUGGAGUCCUUAUAAGCAAAGAACAUUCAGACUCGGCAGUAGGAGUGAGGAAGAAGCAGCAGGAGAUAGAUUGCCAAGCAGUGGAGGAUCACCGCAAACCACCUCUGGGACACUACAGACUUUGAAGAAACCAUGGCCUGCUGACACCUUGAUUUUGAAAUUCCAGCCUCAAAAC